rfam:Citrus sinensis cultivar Ridge Pineapple sweet orange scaffold00026_contig_62, whole genome shotgun sequence.
GAAAUGCACCAGGGGUGCCUGUAUCUGCUUUAACACUAGCCAAUUGGCCAGGAUGUGGGCAGAGCAGGCUGAGAAAGUCCCUUUGAACCUGAACAGGUUAAUGCCUGCGUAGGGAGUGUGCUUUUUCCUUUUU